rnacentral:rRNA from 1 species
GCAUGAAGCUGGAAUUGCUAGUAAUCAUAGGUCAGCAUACUAUGGUGAAUACGUUCCCGGGCCUUGUACACACCGCCCGUCACACCAUGAGAGUUGAGAAUACCCGAAGUCCAUGUCAAAGUGGCCGAAGGUAGGCUUGAUGAUUGGGGUGAAGUCGUAACAAGGUAAC